rnacentral:rRNA from 1 species
GAUGAAGCUGGCGGCGUGCCUAACACAUGCAAGGCGAACGGAGUGGCGGACGGGUGAGUAACGCGUGGGUAACCUGCCCUGUACUGGGGGACGACAGUUGGAAACGACUGCUAAUACCGCAUAGUACAGGAUGGACCCGCGUCUGAUUAGCUGGUUGGUGAGGUAACGGCCCACCAAGGCAACGAUCAGUAGCCGGCCUGAGAGGGUGAACGGCCACAUUGGGACUGAGACACGGCCCAAACUCCUACGGGAGGCAGCAGUGGGGAAUAUUGCACAAUGGGGGAAACCCUGAUGCAGCGACGCCGCGUGAGGAAGAAGUAUUUCGGUAUGUGAACUCUAUCAGCAGGGAAGCGGUACCUGACUAAGAAGCCCCGGCUAACUACGUGCCAGCAGCCGCGGUAAUACGUAGGGGGCAAGCGUUAUCCGGAUUUACUGGGUGUAAAGGGAGCGUAGACGGCAUGGCAAGUCUGAGGUGAAAUGCGGGGGCUCAAC